GCAGCAGGAUUUGUGUAAGCAUCAUGUAACCAAGCAAUUGAAGAUCACAUGUGAGGAUCUGCUAGAAAUGCAGGGCGGAAUGAAGGAAUUGCAAGCUUAGAUUUUAUAUUUAUUCAUCUUGGAAAGAAUCAGUAUUGCCACUGGAACGCCUUCCACCAAUCUCAAAUUUCGUGUCAAAACUGAAAUGCAGUGAAUAGUGCACAAGUGCAAAUGGUAGCGUAUUCCUUUGCAGACAGCCCAACAUAUUCAUCAAAGACACAAAAAGUUGGGUUCUACCAGCACAGAGAGGAGAAACUGGGUCACCAAGCAACACGCACACACUUCAGCUGUAUGUUAUCUCAAAUAAUUACCCUCCGCUUUUGGCUGUCCCUGCUGACUGUUGCUAAAAAAGCUACUCAUUGUCGGUGAGUGAAGAGGGAUUUGAAACCCGCCUCUGGACGCCCAAGAACAGCUCUUAAUUAACCACUCAGGUAUUGAGGAGUCUCUUCAACCCGUCUCCUAUCCAUAUGGCCAGAACAUGUCCUCCGUGGUAAUCACUGAAGAAAAUAGUGUAUCAAAAAAAGAAAAAGAAAAGAAAAAAAGAAACCAAGGGGGUGGGGGCUGUUGGAUGGUGGAGGAAGAAGGCAAGCGAGAAAGGAAAGAGGGAAUCGCACAGAAAGCAUGUGCAAAUUAUUUUUAAUGAUUCUCCUCUGGUGAGUCGGAUUAUCUGUAAUUUGAAGCAGAGUGUGCUGGUGGAGAAGGAAAGCUGACUGUUUCUGUCCUUGACCUUUCUCUCCCCUGCAUUUGCCCCUUCGCCUUGCGCACUUGACGGCAGACCUGUUUCUUAGUCUCAACAUCAAGAGACUGCCCCAGGUAGCAGAGGCAACCCUUCAGGCACUGAAAGGAAGCUUUUAGUGUCUGUGAUUUUGAUAAUUCUUUGUUUCUGGUGUGUGACUUCUUUCUAAUACAUGUUGGAUAGGUGGUUUUCCUGCAGCAGCUAUGCUUCCUCAGACACUUGAGAGAUGUGGUAGCAUUCCCUCUUUCUGAUUCCACAUAUGUGCACACUUGCACACACGCACACAUACACACACACAAUUUUGCACAGUGCAACCUACUUGCAUUUGGCAAAGGAAAAACCAGAGAAGCAUCUUGGAGUGAAAGAAUAUAAUUUAAAAAAUUUAAAGCUCUCCUUUACACUUUAUUUGUUUAUUAUUUUUAGUUUGUCUCUGCCCCCACAAAAAAAAANAUCAUAAGUGGGCCUAGUGUGUCAAAAGACAUUAUGUAUGAUUUUUCCUUUCUGACAGCAACCAUUACAUUUAAAAAUUCAUUACAGCAAGGUUAGUUAGACACGUGAUGGAUGUAGCUUUAAUCCUGCCAUAUAUUAUUACAGUUAAAAUGUAAAUGAUGAAAAAUAUUUUGUGCUUAUCAG
rnacentral:lncRNA from 1 species